rnacentral:misc_RNA from 1 species
AAGUGGGCACUGAGAAAAUCAGAGAGCAAAUUUUUGCCGAGGAAGAAGGAGAGAGAUCGGCAUGGCGUCCUUUUUGCAGUCCCUCAUCGACCCAAAGAAGAACUGGUUCGCUCGUCAACACAUGAAAGCGCUCACCCAACGCCUCCGUAAUUACGGUCUUCGAUACGACGAUCUGUAUGAUCCGUACUAUGAUAUUGAUGUGAAGGAGGCUUUGAAUCGACUCCCGAGGGAGAUUGUUGAUGCGCGCAAUCAGCGUCUGAAGCGUGCUAUGGACCUUUCCAU